CAGUAGCCACGGUAAUACGGAGGAUCCGAGCGUUAUCCGGAUUUAUUGGGUUUAAAGGGUGCGUAGGCGGCCUGUUAAGUCAGGGGUGAAAGACGGUAGCUUAACUAUCGCAGUGCCCUUGAUACUGACGGGCUUGAAUGUAGUUGAGGCAGGCGGAAUGUGACAAGUAGCGGUGAAAUGCAUAGAUAUGUCACAGAACACCAAUUGCGAAGGCAGCUUGCUAAAGUAAGAUUGACGCUGAGGCACGAAAGCGUGGGGAGCGAACAGGAUUAGAUACCCGCGUAGUCCCUGUCUCUUAUAC
rnacentral:rRNA from 1 species